rnacentral:rRNA from 1 species
AUUGAACGCUGGCGGUAGGCUUAACACAUGCAAGCCGAGCGGAAACGAAGAAUAGCUUGCUAUUCUGGCGUCGAGCGGCGGACGGGUGAGUAAUGCUUGGGAAUCUGCCUAGUCGAGGGGGACAACAGUUGGAAACGACUGCUAAUACCGCAUACGACCUACGGGUGAAAGGGGGCCUCUUCUUGAAAGCUCUCGCGAUUAGAUGAGCCCAAGUGGGAUUAGCUAGUUGGUGAGGUAAGAGCUCACCAAGGCGACGAUCCCUAGCUGGUCUGAGAGGAUGAUCAGCCACACUGGAACUGAGACACGGUCCAGACUCCUACGGGAGGCAGCAGUGGGGAAUAUUGCACAAUGGGGGAAACCCUGAUGCAGCCAUACCGCGUGUAUGAAGAAGGCCUUAGGGUUGUAAAGUACUUUCAGCGAGGAGGAAAGGUUCACGGUUAAUAACCGUGAGCUGUGACGUUACCUUUAGAAGAAGCACCGGCUAACUCCGUG